UUUAGACUCAAUCAACCAACAGUCUGCUAACCAUUACUCCACUAAUUGUACUUCACGGUACUAUAAGAUUCCGGCCUGUAUGCCUGAAUUGAGGAAAACUCCUUUAAAAUGUCUGCUCUGGUUAUCUGUGGUAUUCUCACGACUCUUGCUAUUCUUACAGCUUUAAUAUUGGAUCAGACUCCUGCCUUUAAUAUGCUCAUGGUUGUCUUCUGCAUUGUUUCAAUUAUAUCACUGUGGUCAUCUGAUAAACCUAACGAAGAUGGCGAAACCAAAGACCAAACCAAAGAUGGAGUAUGUAAAAACCAAACCAAAGAAUCUGAAUCAGAAGAGACAUUCAAGACAAAGUAAAAAUUGACCAAUAAGUCAUAAUUUUUUUUAUAUAAAAAAAAUACUUGAGUUUUAUUUAUUACCAUUUUAAAGAAAUAUUUUAAGGA